rnacentral:rRNA from 1 species
CAGCCGCCGCGGUAAUACGUAAGUGGCAAGCGUUGUCCGGAAUUAUUGGGCGUAAAGCGCGCGCAGGUGGUUUAAUAAGUCUGAUGUGAAAACCCACGGCUCAACCGUGGAGGGUCAUUGGAAACUGUUAAACUUGAGUGCAGGAGAGAAAAGUGGAAUUCCUAGUGUAGCGGUGAAAUGCGUAGAGAUUAGGAGGAACACCAGUGGCGAAGGUGGCUCACUGGUCCAUUACUGACGCUGAGGUGCGAAAGCGUGGGGAGCAAACAGGAUUAGAUACCCCGGUAGUCCCUGUCUCUUAUAC